rnacentral:rRNA from 1 species
UACGUAGGGAGCAAGCGUUGUCCGGAAUCAUUGGGCGUAAAGCGCGCGUAGGUGACUUCGUAAGUCCGUUGUGAAAGUCAAAGGCUCAACCUUUGAAAGCCGAUGGAUACUGUGGAGCUAGAGUACGGAAGAGGCGAGUGGAAUUCCUGGUGUAGCGGUGGAAUGCGCAGAUAUCAGGAGGAACACCGAUGGCGAAGGCAGGUCACUGGGCCGCAACUGACGCUGAGGAGCGAAAGCAUGGGGAGCGAACAGG